rnacentral:lncRNA from 1 species
UUAGGAAGAUUGCAUGCGUUCGUUGCGAAAAAAUCCACCCGAGUUUCGCUACCCGGAAAUAGUGCAUUCGGGUGCCGAAAUGCACCCGUUUUGCAUCGUUUUUCGUGCCGUAACGAAUGCUCAAAAACACUCCCAAACAUGUUCUAGGGUAUAUUUAGGAAGAUUGCAUGCGUUCGUUGCGAAAAAAUCCACCCGAGUUUCGCUACCCGGAACUAGUGCAUUCGGGUGCCGAAAUGCACCCGUUUUGCAUCGUUUUUCGUGCCGUAACCGAAUGCUCAAAAACACUCCCAAACAUGUUCUAGGGUAUAAUUAGGU